rnacentral:rRNA from 1 species
ACGAACGCUGGCGGCGUGCUUAACCCAUGCCAGUCGUACGGUAAGGCCCUUUCGGGGGUACACGAGUGGCGAACGGGUGAGUAACACGUGAGUAACCUGCCCACAACUUUGGGAUAACGCUAGGAAACUGGUGCUAAUACUGGAUAUGUGCCCCUGCUGCAUGGUGGGGGUUGGAAAGCUCCGGCGGUUGUGGAUGGACUCGCGGCCUAUCAGCUUGUUGGUGGGGUAGUGGCCUACCAAGGCGGCGACGGGUAGCCGGCCUGAGAGGGUGACCGGCCACAUUGGGACUGAGAUACGGCCCAGACUCCUACGGGAGGCAGCAGUGGGGAAUAUUGCACAAUGGGCGCAAGCCUGAUGCAGCAACGCCGCGUGCGGGAUGACGGCCUUCGGGUUGUAAACCGCUUUCAGCAGGGACGAAGCUUUUUGUGACGGUACCUGCAGAAGAAGCACCGGCUAACUACGUG